rnacentral:rRNA from 1 species
GAUGAACGCUGGCGGCGUGCCUAAUACAUGCAAGUCGAGCGAAUGGAUUAAGAGCUUGCUCUUAUGAAGUUAGCGGCGGACGGGUGAGUAACACGUGGGUAACCUGCCCAUAAGACUGGGAUAACUCCGGGAAACCGGGGCUAAUACAGGAUAACAUUUUGAACCGAAUGGUUCGAAAUUGAAAGGCGGCUUCGGCUGUCACUUAUGGAUGGACCCGCGUCGCAUUAGCUAGUUGGUGAGGUAACGGCUCACCAAGGCAACGAUGCGUAGCCGACCUGAGAGGGUGAUCGGCCACACUGGGACUGAGACACGGCCCAGACUCCUACGGGAGGCAGCAGUAGGGAAUCUUCCGCAACGGACGAAAGUCUGACGGAGCAACGCCGCGUGAGUGAUGAAGGCUUUCGGGUCGUAAAACUCUGUUGUUAGGGAAGAACAAGUGCUAGUUGAAUAAGCUGGCACCUUGACGGUACCUAACCAGAAAGCCACGGCUAACUACGUGCCAGCCGCCGCCGUAA